AGAGUUUGAUCCUGGCUCAGGAUAAGUCGUAACAAGGUAGCCGUAGAGUGAGAGUUUGAUCCUGGCUCAGGAUGAACGCUAGCUACAGGCUUAACACAUGCAAGUCGAGGGGCAGCAUUAUUCUAGUUUACUAGAGUAGAUGGCGACCGGCGCACGGGUGAGUAACACGUAUCCAACCUACCUUUUACAUGAGUAUAGGCUUUCGAAAGAAAGAUUAAUCCUCAAUAGUCUAUGUUAAUCGCAUGAUUUUCAUAGUAAAGAAUUUCGGUAAAAGAUGGGGAUGCGUUUCAUUAGUUUGUAGGUGAGGUAACGGCUCACCUAGACUUCGAUGAAUAGGGGUUCUGAGAGGAAGGUCCCCCACACUGGUACUGAGACACGGACCAGACUCCUACGGGAGGCAGCAGUGAGGAAUAUUGGUCAAUGGGCGAGAGCCUGAACCAGCCAAGUAGCGUGAAGGAUGACUGCCCUAUGGGUUGUAAACUUCUUUUAAUGGGGAAUAAAGUGAGACACGUGUUGUCUUUUUGCAUGUACCCAUCGAAUAAGGACCGGCUAACUCCGUGCCAGCAGCCGCGGUAAUACGGAGGGUCCGAGCGUUAUCCGGAUUUAUUGGGUUUAAAGGGUGCGUAGGCGGGAUACUAAGUCAGCUGUGAAAGUUUAAUGCUCAACAUUGAAAUUGCAGUUGAAACUGGUAUUCUUGAGUGUAGUGGAAGUAGGUGGAAUUCGUGGUGUAGCGGUGAAAUGCUUAGAUAUCACGAAGAACUCCAAUUGCGAAGGCAGCUUACUAUCCUACAACUGACGCUGAGGCACGAAAGUGUGGGUAUCAAACAGGAUUAGAUACCCUGGUAGUCCACACGGUAAACGAUGAAUACUCGCUGUUUGCGAUACACAGUAAGCGGCAAAGCGAAAGCAUUAAGUAUUCCGCCUGGGGAGUACGCUGGCAACAGUGAAACUCAAAGGAAUUGACGGGGGCCCGCACAAGCGGAGGAACAUGUGGUUUAAUUCGAUGAUACGCGAGGAACCUUACCCGGGCUUAAAUUAUAGGUGCAUAGAGCAGAGAUGUUCUUUUCUUCGGACUCCUAUAAAGGUGCUGCAUGGUUGCCGUCAGCUCGUGCCGUGAGGUGUCGGCUUAAGUGCCAUAACGAGCGCAACCCUUAUCAUUAGUUACUAACAGGUCAUGCUGAGGACUCUAGUGAGACUGCCGUCGUAAGAUGUGAGGAAGGUUGGGAUGACGUCAAAUCAGCACGGCCCUUACGUCCGGGGCUACACACGUGUUACAAUGGGGGGUACAGAGGACAGCUACCUGGCGACAGGAUGCUAAUCUCCUAAAACCUCUCUCAGUUCGGAUUGAAGUCUGUAACUCGACUUCAUGAAGCUGGAUUCGCUAGUAAUCGCGCAUCAGCCAUGGCGCGGUGAAUACGUUCCCGGGCCUUGUACACACCGCCCGUCAAGCCAUGGAAGCUGGGUGUACCUAAAGUCGGUAACCGCAAGGAGCCGCCUAGGGUAAAACUAGUAACUGGGGCUAAGUCGUAACAAGGUAACC
rnacentral:rRNA from 1 species